rnacentral:tRNA from 1 species
UGGGGCGUGGCCAAGUGGUAAGGCAGCGGGUUUUGGUUCCGCUAUUCCUAGGUUCGAAUCCUAGCGCCCCAG